CUAAGAAUAUUCCGCAAUGGACGAAAGUCUGACGGAGCGACGCCGCGUGGAUGAAGAAGGCCGAAAGGUUGUAAAGUUCUUUUGCUAGGGGAGAAUAAGUGAGGGAGGGAAUGCCCUCAUGAUGACAAGGACUAGCGAAUAAGCCACGGCCAACUACGUGCCAGCAGCCGCGGUAACACGUAGGGGGCGAGCGUGGUUCGGAAUUACUGGGCGUAAAGGGCAUGUAGGCGGCUUGGUAAGCCUGGCGUGAAAGACCGCAGCUUAACUGUAGGGAUGCGUUGGGAACUGCUUAGCUUGAGUUACGGAGAGGGGGCCGGAAUUCCUGGUGUAGGGGUGAAAUCUGUAGAUAUCAGGAAGAACACCGAUGGCGAAGGCAAGCUUCUGGUCGAUAACUGACGCUGAGGUGCGAAAGUGUGGGGAUCAAACA
rnacentral:rRNA from 1 species